AAAGGAAUUGACGGGGGCCCGCACAAGCAGUGGAUUAUGUGGUUUAAUUCGAAGCAACGCGAAGAACCUUACCAGGGCUUGACAUCCAACUAACGAAGUAGAGAUACAUUAGGUGCCCUUCGGGGAAAGUUGAGACAGGUGGUGCAUGGUUGUCGUCAGCUCGUGUCGUGAGAUGUUGGGUUAAGUCCCGCAACGAGCGCAACCCCUAUUGUUAGUUGCUACGCAAGAGCACUCUAGCGAGACUGCCGUUGACAAAACGGAGGAAGGUGGGGACGACGUCAAAUCAUCAUGCCCCUUAUGUCCUGGGCUACACACGUAAUACAAUGGCGUCCAACAAAGGGAAGCAAAGCCGCGAGGCAGAGCAAAUCCCCAAAAGACGUCUCAGUUCGGAUUGCAGGCUGCAACUCGCCUGCAUGAAGUCGGAAUUGCUAGUAAUCGUGGAUCAGCAUGCCACGGUGAAUACGUUCCCGGGCCUUGUACACACCGCCCGU
rnacentral:rRNA from 1 species